AUUGAACGCUGGCGGCAUGCUUUACACAUGCAAGUCGAACGGUAACAGGUUAAGCUGACGAGUGGCGAACGGGUGAGUAAUGCAUCGGAACGUGCCCGGUCGUGGGGGAUAACACUUCGAAAGAAGUGCUAAUACCGCAUACGAUCUGAGGAUGAAAGCGGGGGACCGUAAGGCCUCGCGCGAUCGGAGCGGCCGAUGUCAGAUUAGGUAGUUGGUGGGGUAAAGGCCUACCAAGCCGACGAUCUGUAGCUGGUCUGAGAGGACGACCAGCCACACUGGGACUGAGACACGGCCCAGACUCCUACGGGAGGCAGCAGUGGGGAAUGUUGGACAAUGGGCGCAAGCCUGAUCCAGCAAUGCCGCGUGCAGGAAGAAGGCCUUCGGGUUGUAAACUGCUUUUGUACGGAGCGAAAAGGCUCUCUCUAAUACAGGGGGCUGAUGACGGUACCGUAAGAAUAAGCACCGGCUAACUACGUGCCAGCAGCCGCAGUAACAC
rnacentral:rRNA from 1 species